UGUGUCAAAAUUUACCACAUUGUUUCCACGAAGCCCCUGUGUUUAUUGGGAGGUGUUUAGUCUUGGCAUAGAGUAGGAGUCAAUUAGCAAUUGCUACAUGUUCUAUUGUGCUUCUGAACAACACACAUGGCCAAAAUUUACAUGACUUCUCUUUCUUUGUUACUUUUCAUGAAUGACAUCCUUUCCGCUAUGGCUUUUAAGGCCUAAAGAAUAUUGCCACAUCCUCAGGAAUUUAUGAAAGGUUGGACUGGAGCCCAUUAGGAGCUUAAAAGAAACAUCCCUCUGGUGGAGGUCUGAGGAAAUCAUCUUAACCCCUAAUGUCGCCCUGAGAUUGUGCCCAAAGUUCUACACUACCAGGACUGCUAAGGGACACUGGUCGUUAAGAAGAAGAGAAGAAGUGAUGUAUGGAGGGAGACAUAUCAGCACUCAAGUUUCUCCUUAAUCAGAAAGGCAGGAUGAGC
rnacentral:lncRNA from 1 species